GAGGGCCCGCACAAGCAGCGGAGCGUGUGGUUUAAUUCGAUGUUACACGAAGAACCUUACCAGGGUUUGACAUGCAAGUGGUAGGAAGCCGAAAGGUGACCGACCCUUCGGGGAGCUUGCACAGGUGCUGCAUGGCUGUCGUCAGCUCGUGUCGUGAGAUGUUCGGUUAAGUCCGCUAACGAGCGCAACCCUCGCUGUGUGUUAUAUGUGUCACACGGGACUGCCGGUCUUAAGCCGGAGGAAGGUGGGGAUGAUGUCAAGUCAGCAUGGCCUUUAUAUCCUGGGCUACACACACGCUACAAUGGCCAACACAAUAGGUUGCUAAGCCGCGAGGUGGCGCCAAUCCAUAAAGUUGGUCUCAGUUCAGAUUGUAGGCUGCAACCCGCCUGCAUGAAGAUGGAGUUGCUAGUAACCGCAGGUCAGCUAUACUGCGGUGAAUACGUUCCCGGGGCUU
rnacentral:rRNA from 1 species